GGCCCGGUGGUGGAAUGGUAGACACGACAGAUUCAAAAUCUGUUAUCUUCGGGUGUGCGAGUUCAAGUCUCGCCCGGGCCA
rnacentral:tRNA from 1 species